rnacentral:lncRNA from 1 species
CGGUGCAGAGCUGGGGCUGAGCGGGGCCGGCCGAGCAGGGCCGGGCGGCAGCGAUGGACCGCUAGGGCCCGGCCGAGCCCCGCGAUGCCGCCGCCAAGUGGCCCCGGAGUCCUCGCGCGGCUGCUGCCGCUGCUGGGGCUGCUGCUCGGCGGCGCCUCCCGGGCUCCCGGCAAGUCUCCGCCGGAGCCCCCCAGCCCUCAGGAGAUCCUGAUCAAAGUACAGUGUAUGCAUCCGUCAGCCUCUACCUGCUCCCAGAGCGGCCAGCCACCCUCAUCCUCUAUGAGGACCUUGUGCACAUCCUUCUAGGCUCUCCAGGUGCCCGCUCCCAGCCCUGGGUGCAGUUCCAGCGUAGAGCUGCCCGCCUGCCCGUC